rnacentral:lncRNA from 1 species
AGUGCCGGAAAAAUUUGUCGAAAUCCGAUUCUUCCUCUUUUAACACCCUCUACAACUGUCAUCUACCUUUUCUAUGGCAUAAAUUCUUUAAAAUACUAGGUAGGGACGGGUAUUUACCUUUUUCUUCUUGUGAAACUUGGGUCCUUGCAUAGAAGAGAAGGAGACCUACGUUUUUCCCUUCAGCUGGAAGUGCAACCGGGAUCCCUUUCCUCCUUGAAUCCCCUUCCUCUUCUUCUUUCUUCUUCUUCUUCUUCUCUUUUUCUUUUUUUUU